rnacentral:piRNA from 1 species
CCAUAUGGGAUCGUGAAAUUAUGGAA